rnacentral:rRNA from 1 species
GGGUUGUGAGGUUAAGCGACUAAGCGUACACGGUGGAUGCCCUGGCAGUCAGAGGCGAUGAAGGACGUGCUAAUCUGCGAAAAGCGUCGGUAAGGUGAUAUGAACCGUUAUAGCCGGCGAUGUCCGAAUGGGGAAACCCAGUGCAAUUCGUUGCACUAUCGUUAACUGAAUACAUAGGUUAACGAGGCGAACCGGGGGAACUGAAACAUCUAAGUACCCCGAGGAAAAGAAAUCAACCGAGAUUCCCCCAGUAGCGGCGAGCGAACGGGGAGCAGCCCAGAGUCUGAAUCAGCUUGUGUGUUAGUGGAACGGUCUGGAAAGUCCGACGGUACAGGGUGAUAGUCCCGUACACCAAAAUGCACAGGCUGUGAACUCGAAGAGUAGGGCGGGACACGUGGUAUCCUGUCUGAAUAUGGGGGGACCAUCCUCCAAGGCUAAAUACU